rnacentral:lncRNA from 1 species
UUAUUUUUUACUAUCGUAUGCCUUAAUUUAAUUGGCAAUAAAUUCUUCAAAAAAACUAGAAACUCGGUAUGUAUUUUUUUAAAUAGACAAUAGUAAAUGAGUUAUUCUUGGGUUCAAUUUAUAGGGUGAACCUCUAGAUUCACCAAUUAAUAGAAUUUCAUUAUUUCAAAUUCGAUAUAUUUUAAAAAUAAAACAAAAUAUUGUCAAAUUAUAUUAUGUUUUUAAAAUAAAAAGGUAAAAAGAAAUAAAUAAAAAAUAAUAAUAAUUAAAAAAAAAAUAUUUUUAACAUUAUAAAAAUAACUAAACCCUAAAUCUUAAUCCCUAAAACCUAAACACUUGGGUAAACCCUAAACCCUUGGAUAAAUCUUAAACUCUAAAUCAAAAACACUAAACACUAAAACACUCAAGGGUAUCGUAUUUAGGGUUUAGGGUUUCAGUGUUUAGUGUUUUUGAUUUAAAGUUUAUGAUUUAUCUAACGGUUUACACAAGGAUUUAGGAUUUCAAAUUUAGAGGUUAGGGAUUAGAAUUUACGGUUUAGUUUUUGCUGAUGAUGUUAAAAACAAAAUUUUAAUUUUUUUUUUCUGCAACUACUAUUUUUUCUUAACUUUUUAUUUUAAAAACAUAAUAUAACUUGACAAUAUUUUUUUUACUUUAAAAAAUAUAUUGAAUUUGAAAUAAUAAAAUCUUAUUGGUUGGUGAACUUAGUGAUUCACCCUAGGGGGUGAACCCAAAAAUAACUCAUAGUAAAUAACCGUU